CGAUGUUCCGGCUUUACAAACGCUCCUAGACCAAUGUGUCCGAAAUAGCCUGUGGUGGAAACAUUUGUGAUAUUUGGCCAGUGAUGGCAAAUGGCAGUUUGGCGACAAUCUACCGUGAAAGUACGUGCCCUUGAGGCCUGGAUGUUUGCGGGGACUGGAGUGAAUGCUACAUUGCGGCAGCGGUUUGGGGUUUGAAGAUAAAGAGAGGUAAUUUCGAGAGAGAAGCAUGGAGUUGCGCGGGCUCAUGGGAGGAGCGGCCCGGGGCAGCGUGCUGGAACCCUGGCUGGUCAUGCCCGAUGUUGUGGUGGACCCAGGAGAGAAUAAUCCUGAGAGCUGGAGGGGUUACUGGAAGCAGAGGUCCAUGUCGAUGUCUUGCAGUGACC